rnacentral:rRNA from 1 species
GACGAACGCUGGCGGCGUGCUUAACACAUGCAAGUCGAACGAUGAAGCUCUUUCGGGGGUGGAUUAGUGGCGAACGGGUGAGUAACACGUGGGCAAUCUGCCCUGCACUUCGGGACAAGCCUUGGAAACGGGGUCUAAUACCGGAUAUGACUGCCUGGGGCAUCUUGGGUGGUGGAAAGCCUUUGCGGUGCAGGAUGGGCCCGCGGCCUAUCAGCUUGUUGGUGGGGCGAUGGCCUACCAAGGCGACGACGGGUAGCCGGCCUGAGAGGGCGACCGGCCACACUGGGUCUGAGACACGGCCCAGACUCCUACGGGAGGCAGCAGUGGGGAAUAUUGCACAAUGGGCGGAAGCCUGAUGCAGCGACGCCGCGUGAGGGAUGACGGCCUUCGGGUUGUAAACCUCUUUCAGCAGGGAAGAAGCGAAAGUGACUGUACCUGCAGAAGAAGCGCCGGCUAACUACGUGCCAGCCGCCGCCGUAAAAC